rnacentral:rRNA from 1 species
CCUACGGGAGGCAGCAGUGGGGGAUAUUGCACAAUGGAGGAAACUCUGAUGCAGCGACGCCGCGUGAGGGAAGACGGUCUUCGGAUUGUAAACCUCUGUCUUUGGGGAAGAAAAUUACGGUACCCAAAGAGGACUCUCCGGCUACCUCCGUGCAAGCAGCCGCGGUCAUACGUAGGGAGCGAGCGUUGUCCGGAAUUACUGGGUGAAACGGGAGCGUAGGCGGGCGAGAAAGUUGAAUGUUAAGUCUACCGGCUUAACUGGUAGCUGCGUUCAAAACUUCUUGUUUGGAGUGAAGUAGAGGAUGGCGGAAUUCCUAGUGUAGCGGUGAAAUGCGUAGAUAUUAGGAGGAACACCAGUGGCGAAGGCGGCCUGCUGGGCUUUAACUGACGCUGAGGCGCGAAAGCGUGGGGAGCAAACAGGAUUAGAUACCCCAGUAGUC